UAAUGAUGGUUUCUUUCUGUAAGUUCAUCAAACUUGAAAUUUUCCCCUUAUUUUGUGUUAUUUCCCUCUGUCUUCAAGUGAAGUUACGUGUUUGCAUGUCUGUGUUCUAUGACAGAAUAUAGAUCUCAUCCAUGGGCCUACCCUCCUGGAACUCUUGGAGCAGCAUUUCCACUCAUAUAUGGAAUAAACCAUGAAUGGUCAGGAAUAUGUGGGAAGUAAAAUGUGCCAAGGCGAGAAGAGAAGGGAGUAUUUGAGAAAUGCACGGAGGAGGAAUUCCAGAAUUGUUUCAGAAAGUGCCAAGGACAAUGGGAUAAGUGUGUUCAAGUGAGUAUUUUGAAGAUUAAUGGCAAUGUGUCUUUUACUG
rnacentral:lncRNA from 1 species